AUGGAACCUUUAUACACUCAGUUACUCAGUUAUUUGUUCAAUAAAAGCAAUGCUGCUUAUGUACUGUCUAUGUUAGACAAGUUUCAGAAACCAAGCACAAUCAUCGCCUUAAUCAGGCUGUUAGCCUAAGGUCUAUCACAGAGGCUAGUAAAGCCUUCCUUGACCAAAUUAUCACUAGCAUUUUGGCCCUUAAAUCAUGUUGGCCUUAACAUUCUAGAUUUUCUUCAUGGCUGUACUGUUGAUGCUGGGGAUAAGCUGAGAGA